rnacentral:rRNA from 1 species
GACGAACGCUGGCGGCGUGCUUAACACAUGCAAGUCGAACGGAAAGGCCCUGCUUUUGUGGGGUGCUCGAGUGGCGAACGGGUGAGUAACACGUGAGUAACCUGCCCUUGACUUUGGGAUAACUUCAGGAAACUGGGGCUAAUACCGGAUAGGAGCUCCUGCUGCAUGGUGGGGGUUGGAAAGUUUCGGCGGUUGGGGAUGGACUCGCGGCUUAUCAGCUUGUUGGUGGGGUAGUGGCUUACCAAGGCUUUGACGGGUAGCCGGCCUGAGAGGGUGACCGGCCACAUUGGGACUGAGAUACGGCCCAGACUCCUACGGGAGGCAGCAGUGGGGAAUAUUGCACAAUGGGCGGAAGCCUGAUGCAGCAACGCCGCGUGCGGGAUGACGGCCUUCGGGUUGUAAACCGCUUUCGCCUGCGACGAAGCGUGAGUGAGGGUAAUGGGUAAAGAAGCACCGGCUAACUACGUG